AUUGAACGCUGGCGGCAUGCCUUACACAUGCAAGUCGAACGGCAGCACGGGGGCAACCCUGGUGGCGAGUGGCGAACGGGUGAGUAACAUAUCGGAACAUACCCUAGAGUGGGGGAUAACGUAGCGAAAGUUACGCUAAUACCGCAUACGAUCUAAGGAUGAAAGUGGGGGAUCUUCGGACCUCAUGCUCAUGGAGUGGCCGAUAUCUGAUUAGCUAGUUGGUGAGGUAAAGGCUCACCAAGGCGACGAUCAGUAGCUGGUUUGAGAGAACGACCAGCCACACUGGAACUGAGACACGGUCCAGACUCCUACGGAGGCAGCAGUGGGGAAUUUUGGACAAUGGGGGCGAACCCUGAUCCAGCAAUGCCGCGUGAGUGAAGAAGGCC
rnacentral:rRNA from 1 species